rnacentral:rRNA from 1 species
UACAGAGGGGGCAAGCGUUGUUCGGAAUUACUGGGCGUAAAGGGCGCGUAGGCGGCCUGUUAAGUCGAACGUGAAAUCCCCGGGCUCAACCCGGGAACUGCGUCCGAUACUGGCAGGCUUGAAUUCGGGAGAGGGAUGCGGAAUUCCAGGUGUAGCGGUGAAAUGCGUAGAUAUCUUGAGGAACACCGGUGGCGAAGGCGGCAUCCUGGACCGAGAUUGACGCUGAGGCGCGAAAGCCAGGGGAGCAAACAGG